rnacentral:miRNA from 1 species
UUGGAUGUCGAUAUUGAGGGCA